rnacentral:rRNA from 1 species
UGGGGAAUAUUGGGCAAUGGGCGAAAGCCUGACCCAGCCAUGCCGCGUGAGUGAUGAAGGCCUUAGGGUUGUAAAACUCUUUCGCUCGGGAAGAUAAUGACGGUACCGAGUAAAGAAGCCCCGGCUAAUUUCGUGCCAGCAGCCGCGGUAAUACGAAAGGGGCUAGCGUUGUUCGGAAUUACUGGGCGUAAAGCGCGCGUAGGCGGCUUGCCAAGUUGGGGGUGAAAUCCCGAGGCUCAACCUCGGAACUGCCUCCAAAACUGGCUCGCUAGAGGAUGUGAGAGGAUAGUGGAAUUCCGAGUGUAGAGGUGAAAUUCGUAGAUAUUCGGAAGAACACCGGUGGCGAAGGCGACUGUCUGGCACAUUUCUGACGCUGAGGUGCGAAAGCGUGGGGAGCAAACAGGAUUAGAUACCCCCGUAGUCC